UCCAGCAGCCAUAUCACUCUGCAACUCACAACUGACAACUAGUGAUACCAAGCAGGUGUGAGCCUGGUCAGUACCUGGAUGGGAGACCUCCUCGGAAAAACUAAGGUUGCUGCUGGAA
rnacentral:rRNA from 1 species